rnacentral:rRNA from 1 species
UACGUAGGGACCAAGCGUUGUUCGGAUUUACUGGGCGUAAAGGGCUCGUAGGCGGCAAUUCAAGUCAUCUGUGAAAUCUCCGGGCUUAACUCGGAACGGUCAGGUGAUACUGCUUUGCUAGAGUGCGGAAGGGGCAAUCGGAAUUCUUGGUGUAGCGGUGAAAUGCGUAGAUAUCAAGAGGAACACCUGAGGUGAAGACGGGUUGCUGGGCCGACACUGACGCUGACAGCGCGAAAGCCAGGGGAGCAAACGGG